GAUGAAGAACGUAGCGAAAUGCGAUAAGUAAUGUGAAUCGCAGAAUUCAGUGAAUCAUCGAAUCUUUGAACGCACCUUGCGCCCUUUGGCCAUUCCGAAGGGCAUGCCUGUUUGAGUAUCAUGAACACCUCAACUCUCAUGGCUCGCCAUGAUGAGCUUGGAUUUGGGGGUCUUGCUGGCCUGUGGUCGGCUCCUCUCAAAUGGAUCAGCUUGCCAGUGUUUGGUGGCAUCACAGGUGUGAUAACUAUCUGCGCUUGUGGUUUUCCAUCAGAUAACCUUCAGUGAUAGAGGUUCGCUGGAGCUCAUAAACGUCUCCCCUAAGCGGGGACAGCCCUUUGAAUGUUUGAUCUCAAAUCAGGUAGGACUACCCGCUGAACUUAAGCAUAUCAAUAAGCGGAGGA
rnacentral:misc_RNA from 1 species